rnacentral:rRNA from 1 species
GAACGAACGCUGGCGGCGUGGCUAAGACAUGCAAGUCGAACGAGCUAGGCAAUUGAGCAAUCGAACGCCUAGUUAGUGGCGAAAGGGUUAGUAAUGGCUAGGUAACGUACCCCGUACUUCGGGAUAGCGUCUGAGUGCUUGCACUCUUCCGAAAGGGGCAUUAAUACCGAAUGAUAUCCCCCGUCGAUGGGCGGGUGAUCAAAGAUUUAUCGGUGCAGGGGCGGCCUAGUUCCUAUCAGCUAGUUGGUGAGGUAACGGCCCACCAAGGCGAUGACGGGUAGCGGGACUGAGAGGUUGGCCCGCAACAUCGGGACUGAGACACUGCCCGGACCUCCACGGAGGGCUGCAGUAACGAAUAUUGGGCAAUGAGCGAAAGCUUGACCCAGCGACGCCGCGUGUAGGAGGAAGUCCUUCGGGAUGUAAACUACUGUCAGGGGGAAGAAAGUCCGUUUCGGCGGAUUGAUCUAACCCAGAGGAAGUCACGGCUAACUUCGUGCCAGCAGCCGCGGUAAGACGAAGGUGGCAAGCGUUGUUCGGAAUCACUGGGCUUAAAGCGUGUGUAGGCGGAAGCGUAAGCGUUUUGUGAAAUCCCUCGGCUUAACCGAGGAAUUGCUUGACGAACUGCGCUUCUUGAGGCAGGUAGGGGUGCGAGGAACUCUUGGUGGAGCGGUGGAAUGCGUAGAUAUCAAGAGGAACGCCGGUGGAGAAGUCGUUGCACUGGGCCUGUCCUGACGCUGAGACACGAAAGCGUGGGGAGCGAACGGGAUUAGAUACCCCGGUAGUCCACGCCGUAAACGAUGCCUACUAGGUUGUGGCGGUUCUGACGCCGGCACAGCCGAAGCCAAAGUGUUAAGUAGGCCGCCUGGGGAGUACGGUCGCAAGGCUAAAACUCAAAGGAAUUGACGGGGGCUCACACAAGCGGUGGAGCAUGUGGAUUAAUUCGAAGCAACGCGCAGAACCUUACCUGGGUUUGACAUGCUUGGAUGCCCGCCUGGAAACAGGUUGGGCUGCCUUCGGGUGAAACUUGCGCAGGUGCUGCAUGGCUGUCGUCAGCUCGUGUCGUGAGAUGUCGGGUUAAGUCCUCUAACGAGCGAAACCCUUGCCGUUAGUUACCAGCGGGUCAUGCCGGGAACUCUAACGGGACUGCCGGUGUUAAACCGGAGGAAGGUGGGGAUGACGUCAGGUCAUCAUGGCCUUUAUGCCCAGGGCCUCACACGUGCUACAAUGGUCGGAACAAAGCGACGCAAGACCGCGAGGUGGCGCAAAUCGCAAAAAUCCGGCCCCAGUUCGGAUUGCAGGCUGGCAACUCGCCUGCAUGAAGUUGGAAUCGCUAGUAAUCGCGUAUCAGCGAUGACGCGGUGAAUGUGUUCCUGAGCCU